CCGUCGCGUGAUCUUGUUCUUCCAGAGUCUUUCAUCUAGGACCAUUAACAUCUUUGGCGCAUCUUUCUUUUCCCUGAGACUCAAAGAGAGGGGAUUGAGGGAGAAAGAUGGAACCACCAUCGACCCAAGAGAUGGGCUCAAGAAACAAUUUCUCGGCAGGCGAAGAUGAGCAAGACAAGAUUGUCAACGAAUGUUGUUCGUGCUUCUACGACUGCUUGGAGAGCCUCUUCGAUUUCUUGUGCUGCUCCUAUCUCUGUUAGCUCUAUAGUCUUAAUGUAGCUCUGUCUUCUUCUUUUUUUUUUUUCUUCCUGAUUUCUCUGCAAAUCGGAACUCAAGUACUGAUUUUCUUAUCUUCUAACUGAUGCUAUUUAGUACUCAACCGGUCAUUAUGUUGA